GCAAAUUGACUGAUAAAUAAAUAGUAAACUAGUGUCAGGUGCGCCAUUUUAAUUCAUGGAAGUUAAAAAGCUCAUAUUGCGACAAUUUACCUUCCUAAAUGCCAACAAAUCAAAUGGACUUCGAUGUUUUAAAAAUUAUUGAUGGCGACAUUGACACAGUUAAGAAAUAUAAGUUUCUGUUCUCUCGUUAUGAAAGUCCUGCUGCAAGAGCUUUUUUCAUAUAUUUUAGCUUAAUUUAGCUACAUUUGCUAAAAAAUUGGUGGAACAGAGUUGGUAAAAACCACUGCAUAUGUUAUGUCGCGACGUUACUAAUUUGGUAAUGUCAAAAAUAAACAUGGAUGGUACAAGAAAUUUCGGAAAACUUCCAUUCAUUCCAUUCAGAAUAUCCUCUAUAUGUAAAGUUGUUCUGUGUAAUUCUAAUUUUGAUUUAUGAAUGUAUAUUUAAAAUGCUGAUUA